UGCUUCAGUUGAUACGUAUUUGCCUGUUUCUGAGUGGUGAAAGUUGUUAUUUUUAUUAUUUUUGCAGCAUAUCAGCCUGGAGGUAGUCACCCUGUCAGGAGUGUAAAAUUUACAGCAGAAAUUAUUUUAAUGCUGGAAAAGCUCUUACUCAUCUGAACCAUCAUUCAAAAUGCACAGUGAAAGUCGCCAAGCAAAAUUUUUCCAUCCCACAGUCUGCAGGACUCCUGCAGGUCUUCUGAUGCUUAAGCAUAUCUGUCUCAGGCUGCCCCUAAAAAGAAAAAGAAGUAAUCUGGCAAAAUGAACUCAGAACACACAAAGAGGAACCACUGGAGACUGAUCUGCAAGGUAUUCAGGUGUUGCUGUUGAGCAGAAAUUGGAAGGAAACUGUGAGGGUCAAUAGAUUGAGAAAAUGGUCCUGCCCAUCAUCAUAGGAAACCAUGAACCUCUCCACUCUGGGACAGGAGUGACCUGCAGUGACCAGCUCUGCUGCCUUAGGAGCAUUAGCUGUACUCCUCAAAUAAGGUAAGAAAUCAGUUGUCCUGGUUUGGGGAAAAUUUGGGAGAAAACUUCCAGAAAGCAGAUUCAAGUGGCCACUCCCCCAGCUGCUUCAGGAAAAUAUUUCCUUGAAGAAAAAAAGUGGAAAAAUUGUUUCUUUAACAGGCAAAGCCCUCACCAGCACAAAAAAAAAAAGAAAAAAAAAAAGAGAGA
rnacentral:lncRNA from 1 species